rnacentral:tRNA from 1 species
CGACAUGGCGGAAUUGGUAGACGCAACGGACUUAAAAUCCGUUGAUCUUUUGAUCGUGCGGGUUCGAUUCCCGCUGUCG